rnacentral:rRNA from 1 species
CUUGAACGCUGGCGGCAUGCCUAACACAUGCAAGUCGAACGAGUGGCGGACGGGUGAGUAAUGUCUGGGAAACUGCCUGAUGGAGGGGGAUAACUACUGGAAACGGUAGCUAAUACCGCAUACCAUCAGAUGUGCCCAGAUGGGAUUAGCUUGGUGGUGGGGUAACGGCUCACCAAGGCGAAGAUCCCUAGCUGGUCUGAGAGGAUGACCGUCCAAACUGGAAAUGAGACACGGGCCAGACUCCGACGGGAGGCAGAAGUGGGGAAUAUUGGACAAUGGGCGCAAGCCUGAUGCAGCCAGGCCGCGUGUAUGAAGAAGGCCUUCGGGUUGUAAAGUACUGUCAGCGGGGAGGCGUUACCCGAAGAAGAAGCACCGGCUAACUCCGUGCCAGCAGCCGCGGUAAUAC